UACGGAGGGUGCAAGCGUUAUCCGGAUUCACUGGGUUUAAAGGGUGCGUAGGUGGGUUGGUAAGUCAGUGGUGAAAUCUCCGGGCUUAACUCGGAAACUGCCGUUGAUACUAUCAAUCUUGAAUGUUGUGGAGGUAAGCGGAAUAUGUCAUGUAGCGGUGAAAUGCUUAGAUAUGACAUAGAACACCGAUAGCGAAGGCAGCUUGCUACACAAUAAUUGACACUGAGGCACGAAAGCGUGGGGAUCGAAACAGGAGUUAGAA
rnacentral:rRNA from 1 species